AUUGAACGCUGGCGGCAUGCUUUACACAUGCAAGUCGAACGGCAGCGCGGGCUUCGGCCUGGCGGCGAGUGGCGAACGGGUGAGUAAUACAUCGGAACGUGCCCAGCAGUGGGGGAUAGCUCGGCGAAAGCCGGAUUAAUACCGCAUACGACCUGAGGGUGAAAGCGGGGGAUCUUCGGAUCUCGCGCUAUUGGAGCGGCCGAUGGCGGAUUAGCUAGUUGGUGGGGUAAAGGCCUACCAAGGCGACGAUCUGUAGCUGGUCUGAGAGGACGACCAGCCACACUGGGACUGAGACACGGCCCAGACUCCUACGGGAGGCAGCAGUGGGGAAUUUUGGACAAAGGGCGAAAGCCUGAUCCAGCAAUGCCGCGUGUGUGAUGAAGGCCUUCGGGUUGUAAAGCACUUUUGGCGGGAACGAAAAGGACUGUGCCAAUACCACGGUUCGAUGACGGUACCCGCAGAAUAAGCACCGGCUAACUACGUG
rnacentral:rRNA from 1 species